CCAAAUAAACGAAUGUGACCGCCGCAGGACAUUGAAAGGACGUUCGCCAAUGACAAUUUGUUUGUGCAUACAUAUAUUUUAUCUGAGCCUGGGUCUGAUUCUGUGUUUGGGUGUGUAUCUCUGUGUUACAGGUUGGCAAUAUUUCCCCGCAAUACUCACCUGAAAAGUAUGCGACGAAGAGAGAACAAUUUAUGACCAUUGUUGUUUGAAUAAAAAACAGCUGUUCUACAGUAUGUAUUAUGCCCCACGGAUCGAGGUAUCCCUUCUAACAUUACAAUUUAUUUCAGUUAUGGGAAUGUGCAGUCAACCCAAAGGUUCAAUUAAUUUUCUCAUUCAAUAACUUUCAAUUAUAUUUCGACAUGUUUUAUUCAUUCAACUGUUCAUAGCGUGCUCUGGGGAGCAGGUCAAAGCAAUUAGCAUAGAAAUUAAGGCGAAAACAGACAACGGAACCGCCUCAUUUAUUUCAAUUUAUUUUGUAUAAGUUUCACAACGAUUCGCUAGUUAUUUACUUUAAAAUUGCUGCGAAAAUAUGGAGAAAUUGUGUCAGUUUAAGUAAAGCUACGAAAAUUAUGUUUACGAGGACAUCAAGCCUUGCAUUUGAGUACGAGUUUCGCUGACUAGCAAGUAAUGAACUCCGCCAAAAAAGAACACUUCGCAGCUGUUGGCGAACACUGGCUAGAUUCAGCCUGUACCUCUUUUGGUAUCCUGGUAUCCUGCAUGGCGCAUUUGCGUGCUGAAGCGGAGGCAAUGAAAACAGAGUUUUCGCACUUGUGCGCCGCCUUGCGGAAGGACGCAGCAGGAGCAGGCAAAGAGAGAAACAAGAAAAUCGUGGGAAAUAUUGCAAAAUAUUAAAAAUGUUGUUGCCAAAGGCAGCAAAAAUAGAACCAACAAA